UUCCCCUACGGGACGCAGCAGUCGGGAAUAUUGCGCAAUGGAGGAAACUCUGACGCAGUGACGCCGCGUAUAGGAAGAAGGUUUUCGGAUUGUAAACUAUUGUCGUUAGGGAAGAAAAAAGACAGUACCUAAGGAGGAAGCUCCGGCUAACUACGUGCCAGCAGCCGCGGUAAUACGUAGGGAGCGAGCGUUAUCCGGAUUUAUUGGGUUUAAAGGGUGCGUAGGCGGGCUUUUAAGUCAGCGGUAAAAAUUCGGGGCUCAACCCCGUCCGGCCGUUGAAACUGUGGGCCUUGAGUGGGCGAGAG
rnacentral:rRNA from 1 species